GAUGAACGCUGGCGGCGUGCCUAAUACAUGCAAGUCGAGCGAACAGACGAGGAGCUUGCUCCUCUGACGUUAGCGGCGGACGGGUGAGUAACACGUGGAUAACCUACCUAUAAGACUGGGAUAACUUCGGGAAACCGGAGCUAAUACCGGAUAACAUAUUGAACCGCAUGGUUCAAUAGUGAAAGACGGUCUUGCUGUCACUUAUAGAUGGAUCCGCGCCGCAUUAGCUAGUUGGUAAGGUAACGGCUUACCAAGGCAACGAUGCGUAGCCGACCUGAGAGGGUGAUCGGCCACACUGGAACUGAGACACGGUCCAGACUCCUACGGGAGGCAGCAGUAGGGAAUCUUCCGCAAUGGGCGAAAGCUUGACGGAGCAACGCCGCGUGAGUGAUGAAGGUCUUCGGAUCGUAAAACUCUGUUAUUAGGGAAGAACAAAUGUGUAAGUAACUAUGCACGUCUUGACGGUACCUAAUCAGAAAGCCACGGCUAACUACGUG
rnacentral:rRNA from 1 species